rnacentral:rRNA from 1 species
UACGGGGGGAGCAAGCGUUGUUCGGAUUUACUGGGCGUAAAGGGUGCGUAGGUGGGCUGGUAAGUCAGUGGUGAAAUCUCCGGGCUUAACUCGGAAACUGCCAUUGAUACUAUCAGUCUUGAAUACCGUGGAGGUCAGUAGAAUAUGUCAUGUAGCGGUGAAAUGCUUAGAUAUGACAUAGAAUACCAAUUGCGAAGGCAGCUGGCUACACGAAUAUUGACACUCAGGCACGAAAGCGUGGGGAUCAAACAGG